GGAAGUGAUAUAAAAAAUGGUCUAUAUAUUUUGCAUCACUUCCUCUCUCCUGUCUCUUUUCUCAGAGAGGUGGCUCUGGCUCUUUUGGUGGAGAGGUGGCUGGUGGCAGUGUGCUGGGCAUCUUGGCGUCUUGGCAUGGCUGCAGCUAUUGUCCAGGUUUGGCGGUGAGAGUCCUUGAUACAAUACUGGGAGAAGCUUAGUAGCGUGGUUCAGGGGAAGAUGACUUUGGCAGCUUCCUGGUGCCACCUCUGGGGAAGGACGAUGCCAAGGAACUGGCUCUGGCUGGAGAAGGAUGACUGGGGCGGCCGGUGGCAUCUAGCUGAAGGGAAUGGACGUGUUCAGCCAAGACAAGAGAAGACUUGGGCAACAACCUUGAGCUGCCUUCAGAUUGUGAAGAUUCUACUCCUGGCAGAACAAGCAGAUAAGGACAAUUCGUUCCAAUGGCUAUAAAGGAAGCUGAAGCAGGAGCUGAGGAGCGCUUAGAGCUUGGUUGGACAAUGAAA
rnacentral:lncRNA from 1 species